CGGACCGGCGCGACGGGUGGAGUAACGACGUAGUGCAACUUACGUCCUACUACAGGAGGGGGAGUAACCCGGCGAAAGUCGGACUAAUACCGCAUGAAGCAGGGGCCCCGCAUGGGGAUAUUUGCUAAAGAUUCAUCGCUGAUAGAUAGGCAUGCGUUCCAUUAGGCAGUUGGCGGGGUAACGGCCCACCAAACCGACGAUGGAUAGGGGUUCUGAGAGGAAGGUCCCCCACAUUGGUACUGAGACACGGACCAAACUCCUACGGAAGGCAGCAG
rnacentral:rRNA from 1 species